rnacentral:tRNA from 1 species
UGGCUCAGAUGGUAAAGCGUCUGCCUACAAUGCGGAAGACCAGGGUUCGAUCCCUG